rnacentral:tRNA from 1 species
CAUAGCUUAGUGGCAGAGUACUUGCUGAGCAUGCAAGAGGCCCUGGGUUCAAACCCCAGUG